GUGGGUAUAGCUCAGUCGGUAGAGCGCUGGAUUGUGGUUCCAGAUGUCGUGGGUUCAAAUCCCACUACCCACCCCA
rnacentral:tRNA from 1 species